GCCCUGGUGGCUCAAAGGUUAAGCGCUCAGCUACUAACUGAAAGGUUGGUGAUUCAGACUCACCUAGUGGCU
rnacentral:tRNA from 1 species